GCAUAUAUGAUGAAUGGAGAGUAAACCGUCACCGCAAAAACAAAAACAAAAAAUAUAAUACACAAAUCAUAAAUAUUGCUUAGAUAUAUAACCCUCGUUUUAAAGGAGUCAAGUCGAUGAUAAUGAAUCAAUAUUUCAAACGAGAGAGAAAUUGGACACUAAACAACUCAUUAGUUGAUCUCUUCUCUUCUUUGAGAUCUUUGAAAUAAGAUUGAUGUCUCGGUACUCCAUGAAUGUGGUGCUUUUUUGUUUUUUUUUGUUUUGCUUAACUCUCUCUCUCUCUC
rnacentral:lncRNA from 1 species